rnacentral:rRNA from 1 species
UACGGAGAGUGCAAACGUUGUUCGGAUUCACUGGGCGUAAAGGGCACGUAGGCGGCUCGGCAAAUCGGUCGUGGAAUCCAGACGCUUACCGUCUGAACGGCGGCCGAAAAUACCGGGCUCGAGGGCGUGAGGGGUCACUGGAACUCCUGGUGAAGCGGUGAAAUGCGUAGAUAUCAGGAGGAACACCGGUGGCGAAGGCGGAUCUCUGGGCCGUAACUGACGCUGAGGAGCGAAAGCAUGGGGAGCGAACAGG